GAAGGAGGAAGAUGAAACCUGGCAGUUUUCUGCACUCAGUUGGACUGGAAGAUCCAUAGGUCCUAUGAAAUUCCUGAGCCUCUGUCACUGAGCAGAGAUCUCGCAUUUCCUGCACAGGAAGCAGCUUCUGUCCUGAGAGAAACGUGGACUCCCACCAAAUGGAUCCAUCAGCAGGGAGACCUCAGGAAAGAGAGAAUUUGGGGACUGAACUCUGACUGUGAUUCUUUUUUCUUCCUGAGGGGCCUGGAGCUCACACCUGUGAGCUGGAGCCAGUAUUCUUUUAUGCUGACCCCAAAUGUUUAAACAAAGCUUAUCAUCCUAAACCAAUUGCAAAUCAGAAAAUUUUUGAAGCUACCUAUGACCUGUAAGCCCCCACUUCAAGAUAUUCCACCCUUUUAGGCCAAAACCAAUGUGUACCCUCCAUGUAUUGAUUUAUAAUUUUGCCUCCAAUUUCUGCUUUCCUGAAAUUUACCUGUCUUUAAAAACCCUUACCUCCCAGUCAUUGGGGAGUUCAGAAUUUAAGCAUUAACUGUCUGAUCCUUUCUUCUUGGAGCCCUGCAAAUAAACACCUUUCUUUCUACCAAUGCAAACCUCAGUGUAGAUAUAUGAUCUUACUGCACCAGCCAAGCAGACCCCGGUUUGGUCUGCAACUUUUUUUUUUUUUUUUUGGGAGGAAGUCUCACUCUCACCCAGGCUGGAGUGCAGUGGUGCAAUUGGUGCAAUCUCGGCUCACUGCAACCUCCGCCUCCUUGGUUCAAGCAAUUCUCCUGUCUCAGCCUCCAGAGUAGCUGGGAUUACAGGGAUACACCACCAUGCCCAGCUAAGUUUUGUAUUUUUAGUAGAGACAGGGUUUCACCAUAUUGGUCAGGCUGGUCUCCAACUCCUGUCCUCAAGUGAUCCACCUGCCUCGGCCUCCCACAGUGCUGGGAUUACAGGCGUGAGGCACCACGCCCAGCCUUGUUCUGUAACAUUUUUAGUGACUUAGUU
rnacentral:lncRNA from 1 species